AUCACGCACCUUAGAGCCACCUCUGGAGGACGCUCCUGUGCUGGUGCUGUCUUGUCUCUGAGAGAUGCAGCUCCAGUCUGGUGUUCCUCGGCAGCUUCCUGGCUGUACAUUUGGAGGUGUUUGAGUUAUUGGUGUGUGAGAGCAAUCUACCUGCCCCCAGACCUACGGCUGUACUGGCAACCCAGUUUUACUGGUGGGACUCUACCAGGGCAGCCAGGCUGGGGCCCGGUCAAC
ensembl:snoRNA small nucleolar RNA SNORA53